rnacentral:rRNA from 1 species
UACGGAGGGUGCGAGCGUUGUCCGGAAUCACUGGGCGUAAAGGGCGCGUAGGUGGCCAGGUAGGUCGGUUGUGAAAACUGGAGGCUCAACCUUCAGACGUCGACCGAAACCAUCUGGCUAGAGUCCGGGAGAGGAGAGUGGAAUUCCUGGUGUAGCGGUGAAAUGCGCAGAUAUCGGGAAGAACACCCGUGGCGAAGGCGGCUCUCUGGGACGGUACUGACGCUGAGACGCGAAAGCGUGGGGAGCGAACAGG